GGUUAAGUUAUUAAGGGCGCAUGGUGGAUGCCUUGGCACUAGGAGCCGAUGAAGGACGUGACUAACUGCGAUAAGCUUCGGGGAGUUGUAAGUAAACUGUGAUCCGGAGAUUUCCGAAUGGGGAAACCCAGCAGGAGUAAAGACCUGUUAUCACUGAGUGAAUACAUAGCUCAGUUGAAGGUAGACGUGGGGAACUGAAACAUCUAAGUACCCAUAGGAAGAGAAAGAAAAUUCGAUUCCCUGAGUAGCGGCGAGCGAAAAGGGAACAGCCCAAACCAAGAAGCUUGCUUCUUGGGGUUGUAGGACUGGACAUUUGAGUUACCAAGAAACGAAGUAGUUGAAUGAUUUGGGAAGAUCAGCCAGAGAAGGUGAUAGCCCUGUAAGCGAAACUUCGUUUCCUCAGCCCAGUAUCCUGAGUACGGCGGAACACGUGAAACUCCGUCGGAAUCCGGGAGGACCAUCUCCCAAGGCUAAAUACUCCCUAGUGACCGAUAGUGAACCAGUACCGUGAGGGAAAGGUGAAAAGCACCCCGGGAGGGGAGUGAAAUAGUUCCUGAAACCAUGUGCCUACAAGUAGUCAGAGCCCGUUAAUGGGUGAUGGCGUGCCUUUUGUAGAAUGAACCGGCGAGUUACGUUAGCGUGCGAGGUUAAGGCGCAAAGGCCGGAGCCGUAGCGAAAGCGAGUCUGAAUAGGGCGAAUGAGUACGUUGACGUAGACCCGAAACCAGGUGACCUACCCAUGUCCAGGUUGAAGGUGCGGUAAGACGCACUGGAGGACCGAACCCGUGUAUGUUGAAAAAUGCUGGGAUGAGGUGUGGGUAGAGGUGAAAUUCCAAACGAACUUGGAGAUAGCUGGUUCUCUCCGAAAUAGCUUUAGGGCUAGCCUCGGAGUUAAGGAUCGUGGAGGUAGAGCACUGUUUGGACUAGGGGCCCGUCUUGGGUUACUGAAUUCAGAUAAACUCCGAAUGCCACAGAUCUAUAUCCGGGAGUCAGACUGCGAGUGAUAAGAUCCGUAGUCGAAAGGGAAACAGCCCAGACCACCGAUUAAGGUCCCUAAAUAUGUGUUAAGUGGAAAAGGAUGUGGAAUUGCACAGACAACUAGGAUGUUGGCUUAGAAGCAGCCACCAUUUAAAGAGUGCGUAAUAGCUCACUAGUCGAGUGAUCCUGCGCCGAAAAUGUAACGGGGCUAAACACAUUACCGAAAUCGUGGAUGCAACUAUGUUGCAUGGUAGGAGAGCGUUCUAAGGGCGAUGAAGCUAGACCGUAAGGACUGGUGGAGCGCUUAGAAGUGAGAAUGCCGGUAUGAGUAGCGAAAGAUCAGUGAGAAUCUGGUCCACCGUAUGACUAAGGUUUCCUGGGGAAGGCUCGUCCUCCCAGGGUUAGUCGGGACCUAAGCCGAGGCCGAGAGGCGUAGGCGAUGGAUAACAGGUUGAGAUUCCUGUACUGGUUUGAUUUGUUUGAACGAUGGAGGGACGCAGGAGGCUAGAGAUGCGUGCUGUUGGAUAUGCACGUCCAAGCAACGAGUCUGAUGAUGAGUCAAAUGCUUAUCGUCUUAAGGACAAGUUGUGACGGGGAGCGAAAUUAAAGUAGCGAAGUGAUCGAUGUCACACUGCCGAGAAAAGCUUCUAGUUAGAAUCAGACCACCCGUACCGCAAACCGACACAGGUAGUCGAGGCGAGUAGCCUAAGGUGAGCGAGAGAACUCUCGUUAAGGAACUCGGCAAAAUGACCCCGUAACUUCGGGAGAAGGGGUGCUGCACAAUGUGCAGCCGCAGUGAAUAGGCCCAGGCGACUGUUUAUCAAAAACACAGGUUUCUGCAAAAUCGUAAGAUGAAGUAUAGGGGCUGACGCCUGCCCGGUGCUGGAAGGUUAAGAGGAUGGGUUAGCGUAAGCGAAGCUCAGAAUUGAAGCCCCAGUAAACGGCGGCCGUAACUAUAACGGUCCUAAGGUAGCGAAAUUCCUUGUCGGGUAAGUUCCGACCCGCACGAAAGGCGUAACGAUCUGGGCACUGUCUCAACGAGAGACUCGGUGAAAUUAUAAUACCCGUGAAGAUGCGGGUUACCCGCGACAGGACGGAAAGACCCCAUGGAGCUUUACUGUAGCUUGAUAUUGGGUGUUUGUACAACUUGUACAGGAUAGGUAGGAGCCGUAGAAGUCGGAACGCUAGUUUCGAUCGAGGCGCUGGUGGGAUACUACCCUCGUUGUAUGAACACUCUAACCCUCGCCGCUCAUCGCGGCGGGAGACAGUGUCAGGUGGGCAGUUUGACUGGGGCGGUCGCCUCCUAAAAGGUAACGGAGGC
rnacentral:ncRNA from 1 species